CAGAGCGUAGCUAAAAUAGUAAAGCAUCUCCCUUACACCGAGAAGUCGUCCGUGCAAAUCAGACCGCCCUGA
rnacentral:tRNA from 1 species